AGAGUUUGAUCCUGGCUCAGAACGAACGCUGGCGGCGUGGAUAAGACAUGCAAGUCGAGCGGGAUUUUUUCCUGUAGCAAUAUAGGGAAAAGUCUAGCGGCGAACGGGUGCUUAACACGUGGGCAAUCUGCCGAGAAGUGGGGGAUAGCUCGCCGAAAGGCGAAUUAAUACCGCAUGUGAUCAGAGUGGACAUCCAUUCAAAAUUAAAGUCGGGGCAACCUGACGCUUCUUGAGGAGCCCGCGGCCUAUCAGCUAGUUGGUGAGGUAACGGCCCACCAAGGCUUUGACGGGUAGCUGGUCUGAGAGGACGACCAGCCACACUGGGACUGAGACACGGCCCAGACACCUACGGGUGGCAGCAGUCGAGAAUUUUUCUCAAUGGGGGAAACCCUGAAGGAGCGACGCCGCGUGGAGGAUGAAGGUCCUCGGAUUGUAAACUUCUGUCAUUGGGGAACAAGGUGCAUACGUUAACUGCGUGUGCAUUGAUAGUACCCGAAGAGGAAGAGACGGCUAACUCUGUGCCAGCAGCCGCGGUAAUACAGAGGUCUCAAGCGUUGUUCGGAUUCAUUGGGCGUAAAGGGUGCGUAGGCGGCGCGGUAAGUCGGGUGUGAAAUCUUGGAGCUUAACUCCGAAACUGCAUUCGAUACUGCCGUGCUUGAGGACUGGAGAGGAGACUGGAAUUUACGGUGUAGCGGUGAAAUGCGUAGAUAUCGUAAGGAAGACCAGUGGCGAAGGCGGGUCUCUGGACAGUUCCUGACGCUGAGGCACGAAAGCCAGGGGAGCAAACGGGAUUAGAUACCCCGGUAGUCC
rnacentral:rRNA from 1 species